UACGUAGGGUGCGAGCGUUAAUCGGAAUCACUGGGCGUAAAGCGCGUGUAGGCGGUCUGCUAAGUCUGAUGUGAAAGCCCGGGGCUCACCCCCGGAAGUGCAUUGGAAACUGGCAGACUGGAGUCCCGGAGAGGAGGGUGGAAUUCCUGGUGUAGCGGUGAAAUGCGUAGAUAUCAGGAGGAACACCCGUAGCGAAGGCGGCACUCUGGGCCGAUACUGACGCUGAGGAGCGAAAGCCAGGGGAGCAAACGGG
rnacentral:rRNA from 1 species